GUCGAGAAUCUUUCACAAUGGGGGCAACCCUGAUGGAGCGACGCCGCGUGGAGGAUAAGGUCUUCGGAUUGUAAACUCCUGUCAUGCGUGAACAAGGUUGCUUGGUUAAUACCUGGGCAAAUUGAUGGUAACGCAAGAGGAAGAGACGGCUAACUCUGUGCCAGCAGCCGCGGUAAUACAGAGGUCUCAAGCGUUGUUCGGAAUAAUUGGGCGUAAAGGGCGCGUAGGCGGGAAGGUGUGUCGACCUGUAAAUCUAUCGUUUCAAGCGGUAGGCUUGGGUUGAAACUGCCUUUCUAGAGGAUUUCAGGGGAGUUUGGAAUUUACGGUGUAGCAGUGAAAUGCGUGGAUAUCGUAAGGAAGGCUUGUGGCGAAGGCGAAACUCUGGGGAAUACCUGACGCUGAGGCGCGAAGGCUAGGUUAGCAAACGGGAUUAGAAACCCUAGUAGUCC
rnacentral:rRNA from 1 species